rnacentral:tRNA from 1 species
GGCAUUGUGGCCGAGUGGUCUAAGGCGGCAGACUCAAGCGAAAGCUUCUCAACUGUGAGGUUGGGGUUUCUGUUAUCGUAAGAUGCGCGUGUUCGAAUCACGUCGAUGUCA